AAGGUUCCAUGUGAACAGCAGUUGGACAUGGGUUAGUCGAUCCUAAGCCGCAGGGAAACUCUGUUAGAAAGGGAGCUUUCGCCGGCUCCCCUAAGGCGAAAGGGAAUCGGGUUAAUAUUCCCGAACCGGAACGCGGAUAUUGGCUUGGGGCCUUGUGUCCCUCGUCAUCUACGGCAACGUAAACGAACCCAACGACGUCGGCGGUGACCCCGGGAAGAGUUCUCUUUUCUUGUUAACAGUCCACCGACCAUGGAAUCUGUUUGCCAGGAGAUAUGGUCAAGCGGCUGGUAAAGCUCUACACUUCUUGUAGAGUCCGGUGCGUUGCUGAAGGCCCUUGAAAAGUUGGGGGAGAGAAUGAUUCUCGCGUCCGUUCGUACUCAUAACCGCAGCAGGUCUCCAAGGUGAGCAGCCUCUG
rnacentral:rRNA from 1 species